ensembl:lncRNA
ACAGACCAGCUGACGUGGCAUGAGACCCAACAGCCCAGUGUGCCCACCCCUCCUCGCACUCACGGGAUGCUGCCGUCUCCAGGCAGCCUUUGAGGGGUCCCAAAAUUGAGCCAUCACCUUCUGAGAGGGACAGCCCACCUGCCCAGUGCUCCUGGACACUGCUGGGACACCAAGGAACAAGGCCAAGGUCACUGCUCCAAGCCCUCCAAAGGCAACCAGCAGCCGCAGGGCUGCAGAUCAGCACCAUGCUGCACUUGUAUCCAUGAAGUCCUCGCUGGCUGCAGAUGCAUGAAAACAUCCCUUCCUUUCAUGCUAUUACAGCUGAAUGACAAAACCCCGGAUAGAACUGCAGCCGAAUCAACAGCCUGUGUAUAAUGAGGCCAUCAAACACCAGACACUGAGGCUGGGUGACAGCAAGUUGGCCGUACUGAGGCAAUUUAACUGCCAGUGCAGCCUCUAUAAACAUGCAGCACCUACAGCCACUGCUGUCCUCGACUCAGGCAUGCAGCCACCUUCCAGAUGGAUGCACUGCUUUAAAGAUCUGAAACCCGUUGGCAUAGAAUCAUAGAAUGGAUUGGGUUGGAAGAGACUGUAUAGGUUAUUUAUGGGAGCCUGGGGAUAUGGAGGCUGUAGGAUUUUCCCUGUUUGAGGAAUAAGAGGAGCAGUGUGCAUCCCAGCCUGACUGCAAUACAGCACAUGAAAGUAAAGCUGCUGAUGGAAGAUUCCAGAUGGGGAGCAAUAGAGUGAAAAAACUGAAAGGACCAAAAAUCAACAAUAUUUGCUCUGCCUGAGAGAUGCUGAACACCCUGCACUUCGUGGAGCCGUCCAUCCAAGAGGAUGGCACCUCUGAAGGGCAGAAAGUAGAACCACAGAAUAGCCUGGGUUGGACCUUAAAGAUCAUCGAGUUCCAACCCCAAGAUCAUCCCAGUUCCAACCUUGAAGAUCAUCCAGGCCCAACCCACCAUACCGGCGAUGUGACUGGCCUCAUCCAACCUUAAGGAGCCGAUGAUUCUAAUGGCCCUUAACAAGAGGAUAGGCUGAGCACUAAUGGGGCAGAACUCUGAGCCCUGACCCCCAGCAGAGCCUCGGGGCUGAGCCUGCCCUUCACAACACGUUAUCUGCUGGUGGUAACUCGGCUCUGCCAGACUGGACAGCCCCCAUCAGCUGCCAGUAUGGGCAGGAUACUCCCUGCACGGGGACGGAUGUGAUGACACAGCAGUCAGCCUGAGCACAAGGUUGUUUUCAAGGACGUUAACCGGAGCCCUCAGAAGCCAGCUUGCAAGGAAGAGCAAAAAGAAACCUGACCGGAACGCUAAAGCAGAGCUGAAAACUCAGCACAUUGUCUUUUAUCUUUAGGAAAGAGAGCUCAAUGCAGUGUUAGUGGCUAUUUGCUGCAGGAAACAAGCAGAUUCAGCAAAAAUAUCAGAUGACUGCCACCCAGAAAGCUCUUAUUUUCACUAUCACAGCUACUCACAUCUCUACAUAACCUUCCAGCUGCAGUAGCACACAACUGUUUUGCAGAGGCUAAUAAAUAAAUGAGAGCUAUUUACAAGCCCGCUUUUUGGUAGGAAUAAUACCCCUCACAUCCUAGAAUUAUCUCCAUCUACGUCUGGCCAGGACUUUGAAUCAAUAAACCGUCCCCUCACCCUCGGAUUAGCUCAGAUCAUUCCAACAGCAGCGGCAGCACUUCCCUGCUAUCAUCCCCCGCAGCUCUGCCAGCAGAAUGAACGCGAGAUCCCCUCGUUAUGAGAACAGCAGUUUGCUCCGACCCAACAAAGCGCUUUGCAGCACACCGAGAGCCAGGAGUGGCCCUGGUUCCCCUUCCAGCGGUGCCCAGCACAUGGCCACGGAGGGAAGCGGUGCUGAUUUACGAUGUGGGGAGACCUGCAAAGCCAACAGCAGUCAAAAGCCAACAAGUGCAAGACAUUGACGACGUGUGGGCUGAGCUAAAGGAGAUCGCACUGCUGGAUUUACCGACGCACCCUUGGCUGCCUUUCUCUGCUGCAAUCCCUCAAAAGCGGCGGUGAAGUCCUCCACGCUCCCUCCUGUAACGCUCAGCCUCGCAGCUCCCGGGGCUGCAUCCUGCAUUGCUCUUGGCUUCCACUUUGGGUCUACUCCAUUUUACCACCAGUGGGAAAGCUCAGAACGUGGAUUUCCUGUUCUGCUCAGAAGUCUAAAACUAACAUUGAUAACAUUUUAUCUUUGGGGUUAAAUUAGAAUAUUCACAAUAUUAUUUUCUGUGAAAGUUCUGUUAAAAAGUUCCAGAAAAACAGAGACAGAUGCUGUGCAUCCUGGAUGAUAGGAUGAGAGGCAAUGGCCUCAUGUUGUGUCUGGGGGGGGUCAGGUUGGAUAUUAGGGAAAAUUCCUCCUCCAAAAGAGCAGUGAUGCAGUGGCACAGACUGGUCAGGGAGUGGGGGGUCGUCGUCCCUGGAGCUAUUCCAGAACUGUGGGGAUGAGGCACUGAGGGACGCUGUCAGUGGGCACGGUGGGGUGGGCUGGGGUUGGGCUGUGGAUCUGAGAGGUCUUUUCCAUAAAUCAUUCUGUGAUUGUGUGAAAGGAGGGCCCACUGCUGGGGGAGAAGCCCAGCGGGGCACUGAGCGCUUCCUGGCUCUGUCCUGGUCUGCACAGUCCGAGUGCUUUGGAUGCAGUGGAGCUGCUGGUGGAGGGAUCUGCUCUAUCCCAUGGUGCCAUGGCAUCCUUGGAUUUGCACAAUGCAAUGGAUCAUACCUCGCUUUUCAGAACCGGGAUAUUCUUAUGAAGGAAGACUUGAAAUUAAUAAUAUAUAUCAUAUUAAAAAAAAAAUAUACCCUUAUAGCCAUACUUUAAAUUAUCAGCCUCUCCUAUCUUCUCAGGCAAGCAUAUUCAAGUGAAUCCAAGGUUGUUGCUGUUUCCUAUCCACACCUGACAGCCGCUCAUCCCAAUGUGCGGGCGCCUGCAGACAGACUGCCCUCCCUCUGUCCCUCCCCCGUACUGAGGCCCUCCUCCUGGAGAAGCUCAUUAGUGCAGUUAUUUGCCCAUCACACAGAGGUGAAGCUGGACUGGGACCACUCUGCAGAACUCAGCUGAGCCCAGAGAAGACAAAAAGCUGUGCAGUGGGAUUUAAGGAGCUGCUGUCAGCAUUUCCAAUGCACCAGGGCCUGGGAAUUCAUUUGUCUUUUAAGAAAUGAUGGAAAAAAAGAGAAGCCAUUGCACAGACAAAACUAAUUACACAAGAGCAGAAGCAUCCCUCGCAGCAAUUGUUCUUGAAUUUGCAUUAAAAAAGUAAAUUCUAAAACAAACAAAACAUCUGUAAAAAAAAAAAAAAA